CCAAUAGCGUAUAUUAAAGUUGUUGCAGUUAAAAAGCUCGUAGUUGAAUUUUGGGUUUGGCUAGUUGGUCCGUUCUUGUAACGAGUACUGAUUAGUUGGGCCUCACCGCCUGGUGAUGCGGAAUGUCCUUUAUUGGGUGUUGCGAGUAGCCAGGACUUUUACAUUGAAAAAAUUAGAGUGUUUAAAGCAGGCAUAUGCCGGAAUACAUUAGCAUGGAAUAAUAGAAUAGGACAAUGAUUCUAUUUUGUUGGUUUCUAGGACCAUUGUAAUGAUUAAUAGGGAUAGUUGGGGACAUUAGUAUUCAAUUGUCAGAGGUGAAAUUCUUGGAUUUAUUGAAGACUAACUACUGCGAAAGCAUUUGUCAAGGAUGUUUUCAUUAAUCAAGAACGAAAGUUAGGGGAUCGAAGACGAUCAGAUACCGUCGUAGUCUUAACCAUAAACUAUGCCGACUAGGGAUCGGGCGAUGUUGUUUCAAUGACUCGCUCGGCACCUUAUG
rnacentral:rRNA from 1 species